rnacentral:rRNA from 1 species
GACGAACGCUGGCGGCGUGCUUAACACAUGCAAGUCGAACGGAAAGGCCCUUUCGGGGGUGCUCGAGUGGCGAACGGGUGAGUAACACGUGGGUGAUCUGCCCUGCACUCUGGGAUAAGCCUGGGAAACUGGGUCUAAUACUGGAUAGGACCAUGGGAUGCAUGUUCUGUGGUGGAAAGCUUUUGCGGUGUGGGAUGGGCCCGCGGCCUAUCAGCUUGUUGGUGGGGUGAUGGCCUACCAAGGCGACGACGGGUAGCCGGCCUGAGAGGGUGUCCGGCCACACUGGGACUGAGAUACGGCCCAGACUCCUACGGGAGGCAGCAGUGGGGAAUAUUGCACAAUGGGCGCAAGCCUGAUGCAGCGACGCCGCGUGGGGGAUGACGGCCUUCGGGUUGUAAACCUCUUUCAGUAUCGGCGAAGCUUGCGGGUUUUCUCGCAGGUGACGGUAGGUACAGAAGAAGCACCGGCCAACUACGUGC